UGUUUUUCUUCUUCUUUUUCCUUUUUUUUUUUUCCUUUUUUUUUUUUUUUUUCCUUUU
rnacentral:ribozyme from 9 species